AUGUAGCGAGCUGAGUGGGGAGGAGAGAGGGACAGAGAGCCUGCUUGCUUUAAAGGAGCCAACCGGACAGGAGCCGCUUACACGAGUGUAAGCGGCUCCUCUCCUCUCCUGCUUUGCUCCUUUAAAGCAAGCAGGCUCUCUGUCCCUCUCUCCUCCCCACUCAGCGGCUCUUCUC